UACGUAGGGGGCAAGCGUUGUCCGGAAUUAUUGGGCGUAAAGAGCUCGUAGGCGGUCUGUCGCGUCUGCUGUGAAAACUCAGGGCUUAACCCUGAGCUUGCAGUGGGUACGGGCAGACUAGAGUGCGGUAGGGGAGACUGGAAUUCCUGGUGUAGCGGUGAAAUGCGCAGAUAUCAGGAGGAACACCGGUGGCGAAGGCGGGUCUCUGGGCCGUAACUGACGCUGAGGAGCGAAAGCAUGGGGAGCAAACAGG
rnacentral:rRNA from 1 species